UACGGAGGGAGCUAGCGUUGUUCGGAAUUACUGGGCGUAAAGCGCACGUAGGCGGCUUUGUAAGUUAGAGGUGAAAGCCCGGGGCUCAACUCCGGAAUAGCCUUUAAGACUGCAUCGCUUGAAUCCGGGAGAGGUGAGUGGAAUUCCUGGUGUAGCGGUGAAAUGCGCAGAUAUCAGGAAGAACACCAAUGGCGAAGGCAGCUCUCUGGGACGGUACUGACGCUGAGACGCGAAAGCGUGGGGAGCGAACAGG
rnacentral:rRNA from 1 species